rnacentral:rRNA from 1 species
UGCGCAGGCGGGCUUGUAAGUCAGUGGUGAAAUACUGCCGCUUAACGGUAGAACUGCCAUUGAUACUGCAAGUCUUGAAUAUGGUUGAGGUAGGCGGAAUGUGUUGUGUAGCGGUGAAAUGCAUAGAUAUGACACAGAACGCCGAUUGCGAAGGCAGCUUACUAAGCCAUUAUUGACGCUGAGGCACGAAAGCGUGGGGAGCGAACAGGAUUAAUACCCUGGUAGUCC